rnacentral:rRNA from 1 species
GGUUAAGCGACUAAGCGUACACGGUGGAUGCCUAGGCAAUCAGAGGCGAUGAAGGACGUGCUAAUCUGCGAUAAGCGUCGGUAAGGUGAUAUGAACCGUUACAACCGACGAUUUCCGAAUGGGGAAACCCAGUGCAAUUCGUUGCACUAUCGUUUGAUGAAUACAUAGUCAAACGAAGCGAACCGGGGGAACUGAAACAUCUCAGUACCCCGAGGAAAAGAAAUCAACCGAGAUUCCCCUAGUAGCGGCGAGCGAACGGGGAGCAGCCCAGAGUCUUAAUCAGCAUUAGCAUCAGGAGAACGGUCUGGAAAGUCCGGCAGUAAAGGGUGAUAGCCCCGUAUCCGAAGGUGUUAGUGUUGUGAACUCGACGAGUAGGGCGGGACACGUGUUAUCCUGUCUGAAUAUGGGGGGACCAUCCUCCAAGGCUAAAUACUCCUGAUUGACCGAUAGUGAACCAGUACCGUGAGGGAAAGGCGAAAAGAACCCCGGCGAGGGGAGUGAAAUAGAACCUGAAACCGUGUACGUACAAGCAGUGGGAGCCUUGAUUUAUCAGGGUGACUGCGUACCUUUUGUAUAAUGGGUCAGCGACUUAUAUUCUGUAGCAAGGUUAACCGUAUAGGGGAGCCGUAGGGAAACCGAGUCUUAACUGGGCGAAUAAGUUGCAGGGUAUAGACCCGAAACCCGGUGAUCUAGCCAUGGGCAGGUUGAAGGUUGGGUAACACUAACUGGAGGACCGAACCGACUAAUGUUGAAAAAUUAGCGGAUGACUUGUGGCUGGGGGUGAAAGGCCAAUCAAACCGGGAGAUAGCUGGUUCUCCCCGAAAGCUAUUUAGGUAGCGCCUCGUGAACUCAUCUUCGGGGGUAGAGCACUGUUUCGACUAGGGGGUCAUCCCGACUUACCAACUCGAUGCAAACUACGAAUACCGAAGAAUGUUAUCACGGGAGACACACGGCGGGUGCUAACGUUCGUCGUGAAGAGGGAAACAACCCAGACCGCCAGCUAAGGUCCCAAAGUCAUAGUUAAGUGGGAAACGAAGUGGGAAGGCUCAGACAGCCAGGAUGUUGGCUUAGAAGCAGCCAUCAUUUAAAGAAAGCGUAAUAGCUCACUGGUCGAGUCGGCCUGCGCGGAAGAUGUAACGGGGCUAAACUAUGCACCGAAGCUGCGGCAGCGAUAUGUAAAUAUUGUUGGGUAGGGGAGCGUUCUGUAAGCCUGUGAAGGUGUGCUGUGAGGCAUGCUGGAGGUAUCAGAAGUGCGAAUGCUGACAUAAGUAACGAUAAUGCGGGUGAAAAACCCGCACGCCGGAAGACCAAGGGUUCCUGUCCAACGUUAAUCGGGGCAGGGUGAGUCGACCCCUAAGGCGAGGCAGAAAUGCGUAGUCGAUGGGAAACGGGUUAAUAUUCCCGUACUGGUGAUAAUUGCGAUGGGGGGACGGAGAAGGCUAGGCUAUCCGGGCGACGGUUGUCCCGGUUUAAGGAUGUAGGCAGGUGAAUUAGGCAAAUCCGGUUCACUACAUGCUGAGGUCCGACGACGAGUCACUACGGUGAUGAAGUAGCUCAUGCCCCGCUUCCAGGAAAAGCCUCUAAGCUCUAGAUUAUCAUUAAUCGUACCCCAAACCGACACAGGUGGUCAGGUAGAGAAUACUCAGGCGCUUGAGAGAACUCGGGUGAAGGAACUAGGCAAAAUGGUGCCGUAACUUCGGGAGAAGGCACGCUGGCAUUAGGUGAAGUGAUUUACUCAUGGAGCUGAAGCCAGUCGCAGAUACCAGCUGGCUGCAACUGUUUAUUAAAAACACAGCACUGUGCAAACACGAAAGUGGACGUAUACGGUGUGACGCCUGCCCGGUGCUGGAAGGUUAAUUGAUGGGGUUAUCCGUAAGGAGAAGCUCUUGAUCGAAGCCCCAGUAAACGGCGGCCGUAACUAUAACGGUCCUAAGGUAGCGAAAUUCCUUGUCGGGUAAGUUCCGACCUGCACGAAUGGCGUAAUGAUGGCCAGGCUGUCUCCACCCGAGACUCAGUGAAAUUGAACUCGCUGUGAAGAUGCAGUGUACCCGCGGCAAGACGGAAAGACCCCGUGAACCUUUACUAUAGCUUGACACUGAACAUUGAGCCUUGAUGUGUAGGAUAGGUGGGAGGCUUUGAAGCGUGGACGCCAGUCUGCGUGGAGCCAACCUUGAAAUACCACCCUUUAAUGUUUGAUGUUCUAACGUUGCCCCAUUAUCUGGGGUGCGGACAGUGUCUGGUGGGUAGUUUGACUGGGGCGGUCUCCUCCCAAAGAGUAACGGAGGAGCACGAAGGUUGGCUAAGCAUGGUCGGACAUCAUGCGGUUAGUGCAAAGGCAUAAGCCAGCUUGACUGCGAGAGUGACGGCUCGAGCAGGUACGAAAGUAGGUCUUAGUGAUCCGGUGGUUCUGAAUGGAAGGGCCAUCGCUCAACGGAUAAAAGGUACUCCGGGGAUAACAGGCUGAUACCGCCCAAGAGUUCAUAUCGACGGCGGUGUUUGGCACCUCGAUGUCGGCUCAUCACAUCCUGGGGCUGAAGUAGGUCCCAAGGGUACGGCUGUUCGCCGUUUAAAGUGGUACGCGAGCUGGGUUUAGAACGUCGUGAGACAGUUCGGUCCCUAUCUGCCGUGGGCGUUGGAAGAUUGAAAGGGGCUGCUCCUAGUACGAGAGGACCGGAGUGGACGCACCACUGGUGUUCGGGUUGUCAUGCCAAUGGCAUUGCCCGGUAGCUAAGUGCGGAAGAGAUAACCGCUGAAAGCAUCUAAGCGGGAAACUUGCCUUGAGAUGAGUCUUCCCUGACUCUUUAAGAGUCCUAAAGGAACGUUUAAGACUAAGACGUUGAUAGGUUGGGUGUGUAAGCGUAGCGAUACGUUGAGCUAACCAAUACUAAUGAACCGUGAGGCUUAACCUG